rnacentral:tRNA from 11 species
CCUGGCGGAGCUUGAUAGUUAAGCAUCUCUUUUACACAGAGCUGAUAUUUGUGCAAAUCAAAUUGCCUUGA